ensembl:snRNA U2 U2 spliceosomal RNA
AUCGCUUCUCGGCCUUUUGGCUAAGAUCAAGUGUAGUAUAUAUUACAGAGAUUCUUCUGCCUGGUGUAUUCAUU